CUCAGUGUCUAGCUGCUGAUGAAAUCGGGACAAUGCACAGACCGAAGAUGAGAGACUACGUUAAUGAGCAGCCAUACGGGGAAGCAAAUUUAUCAGACAGAAGACGCUAUCAUCUGCUUUUCCUCAUCAUUGGCGCACUAUGUAUCAUACAAGCCGUUCUCAAUUUGUCGCUUCGUCUUACAUUAUACUCAAACAAGUUCGCACCCGCCUCAGCUUGCAACAUAUCCGAGUUUGGUGAUGAAAACCACAAGAUGGAGGAAGAGUGUGGGCGACUGAAGCCUGAUCAGUGCAGAAAGUUCUUGGAAAACAUCUGUGCCUUGAGGAGAGACAAACGCACACUUGAAAAGAGAAACAGUGAACAUAA